rnacentral:rRNA from 1 species
GAGUUUGAUCAUGGCUCAGAACGAACGCUGGCGGCGUGGAUAAGACAUGCAAGUCGAACGAGAUCCUUAGCAAAGCUUGCUUUGCUAAGUCUAGUGGCGAACGGGUGAGUAACACGUGAGCAACCUGCCCAGAAGCAGGGGAUAAGCCACCGAAAGGUGGUCUAAUACCGUAUGUGAUUUCAAAAGGCAUCUCUUGAUGAUUAAAGGGGGGGACCUUCGGGCCUCCCACUUCUGGAUGGGCUCGCGGCCUAUCAGCUAGUUGGUGAGGUAAUGGCUCACCAAGGCAACGACGGGUAACUGGUCUGAGAGGAUGAUCAGUCACACUGGAACUGAGACACGGUCCAGACACCUACGGGUGGCAGCAGUCGAGAAUCAUUCACAAUGGGCGAAAGCCUGAUGGUGCGACGCCGCGUGGAGGAUGACAGCCCUAGGGUUGUAAACUCCUGUCAUGAGAGAGUAAAGACUUAACGUUAAUAGCGUUGGGUCCUGAUAGUAUCUCAAGAGGAAGGGACGGCUAACUUCGUGCCAGCACCCGCGGUAAUACGAAGGUCCCAAGCGUUGUUCGGAAUUACUGGGCGUAAAGCGUGCGUAGGCGGAAUGGUAAGUCAGAUGUGAAAUCCCGGGGCUCAACCUCGGAACUGCAUCCGAUACUGCCAAUCUAGAGUAGUGGAGGGGAGUCUGGAAUUCACGGUGUAGCAGUGAAAUGCGUAGAUAUCGUGAGGAACACUAGUGGCGAAAGCGAGACUCUGGACACUAACUGACGCUGAGGCACGAAGGCUAGGGUAGCGAAAGGGAUUAGAUACCCCUGUAGUCCUAGCAGUAAACGGUGUGCGUUUGGUGUGGGCGGGUUCGACCCCGUCCGUGCCGAAGCUAACGCGUUAAACGCACCGCCUGGGGAGUACGGCCGCAAGGCUAAAACUCAAAGAAAUUGACGGGGACCCGCACAAGCGGUGGAUGAUGUGGAUUAAUUCGAUGCAACGCGAAAAACCUUACCUACCCUUGACAUGUUAGGAAUCUCUCAGAGAUGAGAGAGUGCUUGAAAGAGAAUCUAAACACAGGUGCUGCAUGGCUGUCGUCAGCUCGUGUCGUGAGAUGUUGGGUUAAGUCCCGCAACGAGCGCAACCCUUGUCAUUAGUUGCUACGAAAGGGCACUCUAAUGAGACUGCCGGUGACAAACCGGAGGAAGGUGGGGAUGACGUCAAGUCCUCAUGGCCCUUAUGGGUAGGGCUUCACACGUCAUACAAUGGUUGGUACAGAGGGUCGCUAACCCGCGAGGGGGAGCUAAUCCCUUAAAACCAAUCGUAGUCCGGAUUGAAGUCUGCAACUCGACUUCAUGAAGUCGGAAUCGCUAGUAAUCGCGGAUCAGAAUGCCGCGGUGAAUACGUUCCCGGGUCUUGUACACACCGCCCGUCACACCAUGGGAGCGGGUUUUACCAGAAGUAGCUAGCUUAACCGCAAGGAAAGCGGUUACCACGGUAGGAUUCGUGACUGGGGUGAAGUCGUAACAAGGUAACC